UAUGAAACAAUUUAGUAACUUUUAGUAAUCACUGUUCAUAUAAUAUCGCAAAAGUGAGUGAAGUGACAAGAAAAUAAUCCGCGAUGCAGAACAAUAUUGUAAGUCGUAGCUAGCGCUCAUAAAGAUAAAAUAGCUAAUUUAGAACCAAUAAGUACAUUACGCCCUGUUUAUAGGUAGAAAUUCAAAACGAAUUGUCCAACCAAAACAAAAAGUGAUUUAAUUGAUUUUAUCUAGAUAGAAUACAAUCCUAGAAAAUUUAUUAGCGGGGCAUUCCUCGACCUCUACCACGCAUAAUCCUAUUAGCAGCGCCAGGAGGUAACGCACCCUGUGGAGCUUGAGGUUGCUGUGAAGGUUCAUUUUUAAUAGUCUCGUCAACGGACAGAAUUAGAGUAGCUGCCUCAGUUGCUGAUAAUAUGGCAUUUGAUUUGACGGUGCUAGGCUCCCAAACAAACUUCUCAAAAUUGUUUGCGACCCCUUCGCUAUCCAUAUCUACACCAGCCCACAUUUCACCCUUGGCAUGUUGCAUACGGAGUUUAUUCAAAAUAUUUGUUGAAUCGAAUCCUGCAUUAUCACACAGCUGACGAGGGAUUACUUCCAACGAGCGAGCAAAGGCAGCUAUAAAAUUCUGUUGUUUACCAGAUAUAGUAAGAGAAUAAUCACGGAGAUAUUUAGAUAACUCCAUCUCACAAGCACCACCGCCAGCGACUACUAAGUUAUUUUUUAACGCAUGUUUAACAAUCAUAAUAGCAUCAUGUAACGAGCGUUCCACCUCUGCAAUAAACUGAUCAGCACCGCCACGAAGAAUAAGAGUGCAAGUCUUGGCCUUGGGACAACCUUCAAAUAGAUUGAAACGAUCACCACCGAUUUGACGCUCCUCAAAAGUAUCACAAGUACCUAGGUGCUUCUCCUCAAUAUUUGAGCAGGUAGACUGGAUGGAGCCGCCAACUGCUUGUACCACACGAUUUAAAUCAUCUGCAGCAACCCUUCCAGCACAAAAAAUGUCACGAUCCGCGAAAUAUUGGGUGGCCAAAUCACCGAUGGGCAAUUUUGACAAAACAACUUUCGCACCAGUAGCGACAAUCGCUUCAAGUUUGGAAAAAAUGAUACGCCAUUCAGCAUCGACGAUAUUCUGGUAUUCUUGAACUUUAUCAACGCGAACUUCAGCAUUGUCUUUCUCGGCCUUUAAUUCCAACUCAACGUCCAAACAAAGAAUUUUGGGAUUCUUGAAGAAUUUUGGCUGUUGUUCAAAACCAGCAUACGAAAAUGUCUUUUUAAAUGCAACGCCCUUAACAAG